rnacentral:rRNA from 1 species
AGUGAACGCUGGCGGUAGGCCUAACACACGCAAGUCGAACGGCAGCACAGUAAGAGCUUGCUCUUACGGGUGGCGAGUGGCGGACGGGUGAGGAAUACAUCGGAAUCUACUUUUUCGUGGGGGAUAACGUAGGGAAACUUACGCUAAUACCGCAUACGACCUACGGGUGAAAGCAGGGGAUCUUCGGACCUUGCGCGAUUGAAUGAGCCGAUGUCGGAUUAGCUAGUUGGCGGGGUAAAGGCCCACCAAGGCGACGAUCCGUAGCUGGUCUGAGAGGAUGAUCAGCCACACUGGAACUGAGACACGGUCCAGACUCCUACGGGAGGCAGCAGUGGGGAAUAUUGGACAAUGGGCGCAAGCCUGAUCCAGCUAUACCGCGUGGGUGAAGAAGGCCUUCGGGUUGUAAAGCCCUUUUGUUGGGAAAGAAAAGCAGCAGGUUAAUACCCCGCUGUUCUGACGGUACCCAAAGAAUAAGCACCGGCUAACUUCGUG